rnacentral:rRNA from 1 species
AUUGAACGCUGGCGGCAGGCCUAACACAUGCAAGUCGAGCGGUAGCACAGAGAGCUUGCUCUCGGGUGACGAGCGGCGGACGGGUGAGUAAUGUCUGGGAAACUGCCUGAUGGAGGGGGAUAACUACUGGAAACGGUAGCUAAUACCGCAUAAUGUCGCAAGACCAAAGUGGGGGACCUUCGGGCCUCAUGCCAUCAGAUGUGCCCAGAUGGGAUUAGCUAGUAGGUGGGGUAACGGCUCACCUAGGCGACGAUCCCUAGCUGGUCUGAGAGGAUGGCCAGCCACACUGGAACUGAGACACGGUCCAGACUCCUACGGGAGGCAGCAGUGGGGAAUAUUGCACAAUGGGCGCAAGCCUGAUGCAGCCAUGCCGCGUGUAUGAAGAAGGCCUUCGGGUUGUAAAGUACUUUCAGCGGGGAGGAAGGCGAUAAGGUUAAUAACCUUGUCGAUUGACGUUACCCGCAGAAGAAGCACCGGCUAACUCCGUGCCAGCCGCCGCCGUAA